AGGUAUUGCUUCAAUACUACAUUGAACGACAGUGCCUGCUGAAAUGUACGAGGAGGAUUCUCAUGCAUGCUUUAUCUCUAGGAAAUGGCUCUCAGAGAGAUGUCGAUAUAUGGAAGGAGGCACUAAACCUCAUUUCUGAUGGUUUAGAAGGAAAACUAUUGUCUGUUCUCCAAGAGCUUCUAUCUUCUAGUCACCCUGAUCAAAUGAUUCACCAAAGGAGAGCUUCCUAAGUAUGAAGUGAGG